UACAGAGGGUGCUAGCGUUGUUCGGAAUCAUUUGGGCGUAAAGGGCGUGUAGGCGGUUUGUUAAGUCAUGUGUGAAAUCCCUCGGCUCAACCGGGGAACGACGCAUGAAACUGGCAAGCUAGAGUACCAAAGAGGGGGUGGAAGUUCCCGGUGUAGCGGUGAAAUGCGUAGAUAUCGGGAGGAACACCUGUGGCGAAAGCGCUCAUCUGGCCCAAUACUGACGCUUGAGGCGCGAAAGCGUGGGGAGCGAACGGAUGAGA
rnacentral:rRNA from 1 species